CCCUUAGAUGUUCUGGGCCGCACGCGUGCUACACUGAGUGGAUCAGCGGGUCAGGUUGCGCGAAAGCGUUUCCUAAUCUUUAAAUCCGCUCGUGAUGGGGAUUGACGGUUGCAAUUUUCUGUCAUGAACGAGGAAUACCUUGUAAGCGCGGGUCAUCAUCCCGCGCUGAAUACGUCCCUGCCCUUUGUACACACCGCCCGUCGCUCCUACCGAUUGAGUGGUCCGGUGAGGCUUUGGGAUCUGAGCGGAAAAAGCGUUUCGCUGUUUCUGCUCGGAAAACUCAGUCGAACCUUAUCAUUUAGAGGAAGGAGAAGUCGUAACA
rnacentral:rRNA from 1 species